CAAGAAUUGGACAUGAUUGAGAAACUGAACAACAACAAAAAUCAAACUUCCUCAUUGCAUCAUGCAAGAUCUUUCAUUGUGGUGUGUGGACUCUCUCAUUGUGGCACGUGGACUCAGUGGUUGCAACACACAGGCUUAGUUCCUCUGAGGUAUGUGGGACCUUACUUCCCCUACCUGGGAUUGAACCCAAGUCUCCUGCAUUGCAAGGCAGAUUCCUAACCACUGAACCACUAGGGAAGUUCCCUAGGUGCACUACUAACAUGUUGAUAUGCCUUGCUAAACUCACAGUCCUAAUACAUUUUAACCACCUGAAUUGCAUAUUGCCUUUUUAAGCUCCAGAACCUACAGGACCAGAGUUAUUUGCUAUACAAAAGUGCUCCAUAUAAGGCACCAGUAAUAGGACAUACAUAUGGAGGAAAACAAGCAUUAUUGUGGUGGAAGAGACAGUCUAUUAAUAGGAAUAUUAUGCUAUUUUUCUAGGUUUUGUGACGGCUGUAGUAUCUGUCAUUAUUUCUACAUUUGUCAUUUUCCCCAUUUCUUUUGCCAUUUUCUAAACACUUGGUUACACGAUUUUAAUUUGUUAUUGUAUGCCCUGUUUUCUUAGGAACCCCACAGUAGGGGAACUUUUGGUCCCACGCAACUUUGAGCCUCUCCUGGUAAACAGCCCAGCAGGUGUCUCAGUACUCUGAUUUACUUGCAGCUCGCCCGUCUGUCCAGCGUAAGUGACCCAAACAGCAGAAGGACGGGCCUUGUUUCUCAGUGUAUGGGCUUGGCGGUUUCUUGGCCCUUGUCCAAGUCACCAGAUACACUCUCCAUCAUUACCAUUAACAGCAACAGAUUAAAAUGCAACUAUUACAAAUCAGAAUCUACGCCAGCGCCUGAGUUGAUGAGUUGAGAGGAGAGGAGGACAGAAAGGAGAAAUCUAAAGGCUAGGUGCGGUGGGGGUGGGAGACCGCUUCUCCUUUUCUGCCCUUUCUCCAAAAACUUCCCUAGUUUUAUUUACCAUAUGCUCAGCCGUGUGUUCUCACACUCUCCUGUACCUUGAGAGCUGACUGUUAGACACGCACAAGAGAAGAACAUGAAGGCCUCCAGAUAACGUAGAUGCUGACACAAUAGAGUCCCAGUCCCGUGGUUUCUUUGACAGGGCUUUACCAGGCUGGAUGGAAGAAGGAAAGACCACCAGGAAAGCGCGUGGCUCAAGUGGAGUUAUAAACCAGCUCUGCACUCUUCCGAGGAUUUAUAUUCAACUGAAGAUGCGUCCAAUGCAGGACGUUAUGGCUUUCUGCUUUCUUUUUGCUUACAUGGAGAAAUAACAGUUAAUAUAGUCAACUAUCCCAAGGCAGAAGAGUAUUAUUAAAAAAGAAUACUUUGCAACAUUAUUGAUUUCUCAAGUCACUGUCAGAUAUUUUAAGAUUUGGAUUUAAUAAAACAUAAUAUGAUUUCUUUUA